AUGGAUAGUGAUGAUGUUUGGGAUAAAUAUGUGGAGGCAAGCAAGGAGAUAAAGUCUUACAAGACCAAAGUAAUCAAGAACUGGGAUUCCAUAUGUAUCGUAUAUUCAAAAGAUCAUGCUAAUGGCAAGGGUGCGAAGACAGGUGCUGAUAUUGCUGUAGAGCCAUUAGAAGAACCAAUUGAAGUCUCUCCAGAAGUAACGCCAAAGAGGCAGCGAACAGGUGAUGCUAUUCUUUGCAUGCUUGGAGAUAUGAAGAGGGACUUAGUUGAUGCUUUUAAGACAACUGAGCCCAUUCCACUACCAAAGGUUACCACACCCGCUGAAAUACUUGAUGCACUUAGGUUGAUACCUGAUUUAGCUGAGCAAGAUAUGCUUCGAUGGUACGGGAAGUUGGUACUCAAUGAUCGCCUAUUUCAAGCUCUGAAGGAGCUGCCCAUUACCAUGAGGAAGACAUGGCUGCUAAUGUUGCCUUGA
rnacentral:rRNA from 1 species